CUGGGGAAAGCCAGCGGCCUUCCCUGAGCGGAGCGGCGCCCGCUGUCUCCAUGUCACGGGGGGCGUGUGCGGAGCCAGCCCGUCACCCAGCCUGGCGAGGACUCGUCCCGCCACCUGCCUGAGCUCAGCGAGCCCGCGGAGCGCGAGCUGGUCGCCGCGCCCCCCUUUGCCGCCACCCGCCUGCGUAGGAGGGGCCUGCUGGCCUCUGGAGCGGGCAUCAGCCCUGGGCGAGCGGUACAGCGGUAACCCGCUGCUGCCCGGAGACACCGGGGCGUGCCGUCCCCCAGCGCCAGGCUUUCGGUCACGGUGCGCUGCCGUGACUGGCAGCCCCAUGGCGCUUCACCGGGAAGAUCCAUCAUCUCUCUCGUGCCUCGUUUGAAGAUCCCUUUCCGGUGGGAACAUCAGUUUGCCUUGCCCAUAUUUAAAAAAAGCUGACCACGCUGGCUCCAUGUACUAGAUUCCCUCCUGCCUGGAGUAGACAAGAGAUUAUGGAUCUCCUGGACCUACAGAGGGAGAGGCUGUCCAAGCACAGCUACGGAUCAGUUGUAGAAAUGUGGACAUCUACGAAAAGAUUCCACAGGGUAUGCAGGCAAAGGGGUAUGACAGGGAUCAGCAGCAGUACUGCAUGAAAGCAAAGGAACUGCACCAGACAUAUCACAAGGCCAAGGAGGCCAACUCUCAUUCCCGUGCUGAGCCAUAGACCUGCCACUUUUACAACAAGCUGUAUGCCAUACUUGGUGGAGACCCCAUCAGCACCCUAUAGACCCUGUGCGUACCUUAUAGGAGCCCAAGACAGAGAGGCAAGCCGUGAACAACAAGGAGGAGGAGAGAUGCGGCAUGGAGGAACCGAUCAAGACUCCACUGCAGUCUAGCCUGUCCUGGCAGCCAAACUGAAUGAAGGGGAAGGAAGCUUGGAUAAGCCUGCGCAUGCACUUUUCUUUACAAUGUUUGCAUGUGAAGAUUGCACCUGGCCUAUUCCCAAGUUAAUAAGACUCAGCAAAUGCCCCUUCACACCUACAGAACCCCUGAACCUGAGGAGGAGGAGAAAGAAGCCCAUUAGGGAGGAUAUGUUCAGCGAGAUCCUGUAGGCCAGUGUUGCAUCAGAUUGCGUACAAAGAGCCUGGUAGUCCAACAUGGCAGAUGGCAUGAAGCGGGACAGGAGAAAAUGGAGAAAGACCCAGGUCUCCCACCAGGAGAGGAAGAUGCACCAGGACAUAAUGGGACUUGUCAGGCAGCAAACACAGAUGUUGCAGACUCUAGUUGACCCGCAGAUCCAACAAUCAUGGUCUUACCAUCAUUGCAGUCCCUGGAGAACUCCAGGGUGGCAGCUCCCUACAUCCCCCAACAUUCUACAUGUACUCCUGGGCAUCCUUACCUCUGCCACUCCAAGUUGGAGUGUAUGUGUAGCAAAAAUGGACUGCAUUCAUUGAAAUGGACAGAAAUAUUUGCUGCCUUUCUAAUUUUAAAGUUCUAUUGCAUUAAUUUAUGUUAGAAGUUUGUAUUGUAUUGUCCUUUUUUAUUUGCACAUUGGUUUUGGUUUUGUUUAGUUUGGGUAUUUUUGCACUGCUUUUGUCACUCAAUAAAAUUC